rnacentral:siRNA from 1 species
GCACGCGCGCUACACUGAUGU